GCAGAAGGGCUGGGAGGUCCCCACCCCAGGCCCCCUCAUUUCCAGUGAGGCCUGCAGAAGACCCAGAAAAUUUCUCAUAGGCCCUGAGGAGGAAAAGAACUGAAAAUUAGUCUGUGUGCCAGGAAUCUGGGUGCCACUUAGGCGGGCCUGCUGGCUCAGGGUCUCUCACAGGCUGAAAUCAAGGUGUCACCUGAGGCUACCAUCAUCUCAAGGCUUAACUGGCAAAGGAUGUACAUUCAGCCACCCUAGAUGGUUGUUGGCAGGACGCAAACUCCUCAUGGGCUAUUGAAUUGAGGACCUCUGUUUAUUGUUCUUGUUAGCCCAAGGCUGCCCUGAGUUCCUUGCCAUAAGGACCUCUCCAUAAGGCAGCUUGCAACAUGGGAGGUGCUUCAUCAGAGCCAGCUGGUGACAGAGUACAAGCAAGAUGAAAGUGACAGUCUUCUAUAACCUGAUCUUGGAAGUGACAGCCUAUCAUUUUUGCCAUAUUCUUCUCAUUAGAAGCAAGUCAAUAGUCCCACACUCUAAGUAAGGAGAUUGCAGAAGGGCAUAAAUAGGAGGAGAUGGGGAUUGCUGAAGGCCAAUUCAGAAGCUGCCUGCCUAGAACCAAGGAGUAUAUGAAGCACACACAAGAUGGUUCAUCCUGGCAGAGGAGGAACAGUUCUUCCCUCAUAACUGAGCUGGAGAGGCACACGUGGCAGAAGGUAGAGGUGCAAAUUCACAGAAAUCAAGGAUGUAAGAUGAAGGUAUGUCUUCCAACAUACGGCAACGUCCAGUUGAUUCACUGAACUGAGAAAUGGGUGCGUACCUGUAAAAGAAAGGAAGAGCUAGCUUCAGUAUGCGGCCUAGUGAAACUGGAAUCAGAACAGAAUGAAUACGAUGAACUGGAAAUGUCAUGUUAUUGAGCUACAGUCUCUAGAAUAGAGACAGUGGCAUCAGUUGGGGUCCUUAACAUUUGAGGUUUCUUGGCUAAACUAACUUCCCCUAGAGAGGGCUAAGAUGGGUAAUACCAUGUCUGCCUGUCACUCUCCUUUUAGUCAAGCUUCCGAGUGGGCUCCACCUCCAUUCAGGAUGAUGGUAGUAACACAGCUAAUGAAAGACAGUUUUCACUAGGUUAGAAAGUCCUAACGGCCAUUUUUUUUCUUUCUUGAGAGUUCUGUGUAAUUUUUUCUUUUUGAAGAGUUCUGUGUUUUUUCAGAGUUCUGAUCUCAUAUGAAAUGAUUUCAAAGUUUAGCUCUCAGUGGGAAACAAUUUGUCCACAUUCCAGGGAAACAGGAGAAAGCCCCUUAGUUCUAAGAGUAGUACUGACAGUCAUCACCUACAAUCAAAUGAUAUUUUGGGCAAGUCUGCAUUCUUUUAUGAGCCACAAAACCAUAUAGCAGGAACUAAGAUGCAGAGACCCUGUAAUAAAUACAUUCCUUCCACCAGCUCUUAGACAUCUGGUUCAUAAAUUGUUCCAUUUGACAGUGAACAGGGAAAAUGGAUGAGAAACGUGGCCUCAAGCAUAUAAUGUAUAUGUGGUCAAAGAGUCAUGAUCCAUGUGGCCACAUUACCAGAUUAUAUCUUAUUCUCACUUUCUCUACAAUAGGAUAAGCACCAACGGGAUAGAAAUACACUCUUCUCUCCAAUUUAAUUAUACCUUUAUUAUUACUUUUCUUAUAUGCACAUAAGCAGCAACAGCUAAUGUAAAGUGGAAAUUGUAAUACAAUUUCCAUACUGUGUCUUUGUUGUCUACCAAAUUAUAUAAAAAAUGUGUCUCACCCUUUAGUUGGGACCAUUUAGAAGCCUGAGGGCAAUUACACAGAGUGUAUUGGAGUUAGCCGCACAAUCUCCUAAUGGCUGCUUGGCCCAAAGCCAAGCUUUAAGCCAAACCUCAGGGAAUUCAAAUUUAAAAGUCAGCUACAUUAGUGGUAGUGAUUCAGUUUGGAGAAGAUAUCGCUUUUCGUGAUUUAUUACAGCCAGUGCUUUCAGUACAUUUAAAAGAUGGUCUAGCUUAGUUGCAUUUUCAAAGGAGCGCUACUGCAUAAAAUGAGGAACAUCUGAACUGAAAGCUAUCAGAAUGGAAAAGCUUGACUAGGGCUUGAAUUAUGUGGAAAGCGUAAUUCUUAGAAAUAGGUCCUCAAACACACAAGAAUCUGCAAAAAUGAGCUAUACUUUCAACCCCCCAAUAUCUAACCCUCGUGAUCAUUUGGUAGAGAAGGGUCUGUUACUGUCAAGUAUUUUUAAAUGACUGCAAAGACAUUAAUUCCCUAGGUGCAGAAUAAUCAUUCAGUAUCAAGAAUAAACAUAUAAUUUAAAAUAUUA
rnacentral:lncRNA from 1 species